CCGUGGGAUUUCGCAGCUUUCAGCCACCACUUUUGAUUGGACAGCUUGCAUUGUGGUGUGCAGGCACGAAGUCUAAAAGACGCAGCCAAUCAGCAUCCUCUGUAGCGGGACACAGGAGUUCUGGUCGUGACAGAUGGGAAAAAUAAGAGGGAGUCCGGUUGAUUUCCACAACUGUGUCUUCGGCUCCAGCCUCGCUGUGGCAGGAGGGAUUUUCUCCUCCCUGGUCCUGUCAACUGCUGGCCUCCCUCCCGCCUCCCGGUCCGUCUUCCUUAGAAGAUCCUACUUGGGUGUUGCAGGAACUUCCUUCAGAGCUUUUGGGAUUGCUUGUUUUCAUAUAGAUUGCAAUGAAAAUUUCUUAGAAGCAAAAUAAUCACUAUUAAAAACUAUUGACAUCAGGAUUUUAAAAACUUGCCAUUAACCUUUAUCAUUUGACUUAGGUUUCCUGUGCUCAGAGACAACUACGCAAGGACUAGAGUGAACAGGUGCAAAUGAAGGAGGAGAGCCAGUAGCUCUACUCAGUGACCCUGGCUGUGAAGAAUCAGCUGGUUGGUUACAGAGCAGUCUCCAUCUCUGGAACAAGUGCAUCCUCCCUGAUUCAGAUGUAUGUGGUAAGGACGGGCCUCACAAGAUCAGCUGGAUAACUGGUCCAGUGUGGAUCAAGAAGCACACAUGAGAGGUCCACCAGAAUGGACUCAAGAGACUGAGAGCUUUUGUCCAGAUGGGGAACUGCAUGUUGAGAAGAUAUAUGUCACCACUUUAAAAUCAAAGGGUGUUGGACUCAUAAAUGGGAGCACAGACUUAGCAGUUCUAAUCAGGUUAAACAUUCACUUUUGAGCAAAUCAUAACAAAGGGGUGUCUGGUGGGUAUCAGAAAAACAGGAAAUUUUUCAGUUGGUAAACUGUAAUUCCUCUACUUCUGUGCAUGCGAAAUAGAAAGACUAGUGAAACUGGUAGAGGAGACUGAGGGAUAGGUGGCAAAACACAUCAACACAGAAAUUGGGGUCCACAUCUAAAUAAAUUGCUUUGAGAAGGACAAUGCAGACCAUGGACCAUUGUACUGCUGAAAUGCAGUUACCCCGGGCUAGAAGGAAGUAGAGGAAAUGCAGCCUGUGUUCUGCUACCAAUGCAGGAGCCCUGGCACAGGGAUUUGUGGAGGGGCCAGUUUUCUGAUUUAUAGGUGCUUCAUUGUUUCACUGAGACCCAACACCACAGAAGAAGAACCGGGGUUGCCACUGGGAGUCUCCUGGAGCAAUGGAGGCAGAUUGAAAAAUCAGAUGUGCUUGUACUUGUUCUGAAGCAGAGGUUACUGAUUUACUUGUAUCUGUUGACAAGACUGAGAGCAAACAACCUGCCUAGAUAGGCCUGCCUUGGAGAAAUGAGUUCAAAGUUGAGAAGUGUGGGGUUCAGCUGCUCUCCUCCACUUUCUUCCAAAAACCAGGAAAGUUCACUGUUCCCUGAGGUGGCUCCUAUUUCCAAUGAUGCCAAGACCAUGGAUGUCAUGCUUCUAAAGUUGAAAUGACAGUUAAGGGCCUGCAGGGAGAUGAGCUGAUGCCAUUCCUUCCCUGUAACCACAUCUUGAGCAUUCAUUUCAUAAUGAAUUCACAUCAGAGGCUUGGCUGGGUGAGUGUCUUUCUGUUUUAUUCACAGAGUGAGCUCCAAGAGCUUGUGGAUCCUGGGCUGAAGCAGGAUUGGUCUCAGUGAACUGUUAGGAAGAUUUUCUGCUUGAUGACAUAGGUCUUAGAUAUUACUCCACCACUAACACUAUAAAUGUCUCUAGACAUGAAAUGGUGAAAUUCAUGAAGUAUGGAAGGCCAUAAAUGAAAUGGUUUGCAGAAGUAUAUUGUGAUUUUUUAUCUACUUGUAUUAGUUUUGUAUCUGGUUUUCCUCAAUCUAGUAUAUUUCUCAAUUUGACAUAUUUUUUCCAAGUAAAUUUGUUCUAGCAAGACACAAGAAACCUGAACUAAUUCAUUAUGCUUUAGUGAUAUUUAUUUUUCUUCUGUCAAGUUUUGAAAUUUUUCAGAAAGCUUUAGGACUGUUCACCUCAUUGUCCCAAUAGUUAUGCAAUAUUCUUAUAUUAUACAAUAAUGAGCUUAACAGGUGGAUAUACACAUUGAGACCUAUAUGGAGUCCCUCUGUCCUAUCUUUGUCCAGACCAAGUCUCAGCAUUUGUGGGCAUGUUGAUGAGUACAUCAGUAAACCAGUUGAUGGAAGAUAACUCUCUCUCUCUCUGUCUCUCUCCCCCUCCCUCUCUUCUUCAUUCUGCCCCUACAGUGUGUCACUC